GAAAUGGCCUUAAGCUGAGACAGAAGAUUCAGAUAUUAGAAAAAAAUCACAGAAUGUGCUGAGUUGGGAGGGACCACAGGGAUCACCGAGACCAACUCUUAGCCCUGCACAGGACAUUCGAACAAUCCCAUCCUGUGCCUGAGAGCAUUGUCCAAACGCUCCUGGAACUCUGGCAGCCUUGGGGUUAUGACCAUUCCAUGGGGAGCCUGGGCAGUGCCCGAUCACCGUCUGGGGGAAGGACCUUUUACUGAUAUCCAACCUAACCCUACCCUGACACAGCUCCAUGCUGUGACAAGCACUUUGGUCAUCUCUUCAAGGCACCACCGCUGUCGGAGCUGGCACAGGGUUUACAAAGUCGGACAGUUUUUGGCAAUGUUGAAAGGCCAAAGACCUGAUGUGGGGUUUUUUUGUGGUAGCGAGGUUUGUUUUUUUGUGGUAGAGAGGCCAUGAUCCCGGCUCCCCUCCACCCAACGGGGCAGCAGCUGCAUCAGGAGCUUCGAAUCCCAGCCGAACUGGGGCUCUGAGCUUAGACCACUGCCUCUUCACAGAGACAGAAGAUCCAUCCUCGGGGUCAUCAGCCCAGAACGUGGCGCUGGAUUGGGUACGGUGUGAUCCUCUUCUCUUGUUUACUUCCGCAGGCCAUCGACAGCAAGCGUGGCAAUUCCUGGAGAAGAUGAGCCCCCUCGUUACAACGGAGCAGAGACGAGCGCGCCCGAGAGCCGGCUGGUAUUUUCGGCAUCCCGAGAGCCGGUUGGAAUUUCGGCAUCUCCCGUCACGGGAUAAUCCAUAGAGAUGGAUGCUGGGCAAUGAAAAUGCAGAAGGUUGUGAUUGUGUUGGACCAGGAGAAGACAAGAAGUUUGUAUUCGGUGUUAUAUCUGAAGUGACUGCUAUUUAUGCUCUUAACCUUGUGACAGAGCAAAAACAGUGCCAGGAGCAUGUUAUUAUGUGAAAAACUGUUUAUUCUCCUUUAAAAAUUUAUGAACUGGCAAAGAGGCCGUGACAGGAAGACGUGGGCAUUCCUCUGUCCCGAAUGUGUGUGUCAGAAGCCAAACAUAUGUGUCCCUUGUUCCCUCUGCUGGGAGAGCAGGUAUUUCUGGAUCUAGGAACUUGGUCCUAAAAACUGCUGAGUAAAUUCUAAUUAGUGUUUACUGGAAUCCACUGGAAAGGUGAUCCCUGAGCCCAAUUUCACCUGGUCUCUGGGAGCUGUAGCCUGUUGGAGGCACCAGUCCUGCAGGCUUCAGAGCUCUUUGAACUCUUGGUAACUUUGAUUGGAGUUAAGGGUCACUCAGUACCUCCCGGGAGGAGGCCCUGACUGGUUUCAACUUUUAAAAUAAAUGGUUUUGAUCUUGAGAAUCUGGCCUGGGAGAUUUUAAUUUGUAUUUGCUGGUUUUAGCUUGCACUUGAAACUGACUCAAAUGGGUUUUGUGCCCUCAGUACUGGAUGUUACUGUGUUAGAACCUUCCCUUUGUUGGUCUUGCAGGUCCAAGUCAGUCCUUCGUCUUAGGCAACUGUAGCCAAUGGACUGAGAUCAGGGAUUAAUUUGGCCAGGGAUAAUUGAAAUGAUAAAUAAAAUAAAGCAAAACAAAACAAAACAUAAAGCAAAACUUUUGAGUUUGGAAUAGCUUCUGAAAGCAAUUGAAGUAAUCCAGAAGAAAAUAUGCCAUGGAAUCUGUUUUCCAUUAUUGCAUGAGAUAGUAUGUCUUAAAAUUUGAUCAAAUCCAUCUCUUCAUUACAAAGAUAAUGCAGCUCAUAGUGAUGUAGAGAUCUGGGGUCUUUUUCAAUGUAGAAUUUACAAAUUAUUGUAGACUUGACAUUCUUAUUUAUUGAUGAUUCGCUGUUCCUGUCAUGAUCUCACAGCAAGUAAAAAUAAUUUCUGAUUGAUUUCUAGGUGCCAGUGGUAUUUUUGAAAGAUAUUGUAGUAAAGGCUCAUAUUGAUACA